rnacentral:rRNA from 1 species
GAUGAACGCUGGCGGCGUGCUUAACACAUGCAAGUCGAACGAAGCACUUUAUUUGAUUUCCUUCGGGACUGAUUAUUUUGUGACUGAGUGGCGGACGGGUGAGUAACGCGUGGGUAACCUGCCUUGUACAGGGGGAUAACAGUUGGAAACGGCUGCUAAUACCGCAUAAGCGCACAGCAUCGCAUGAUGCAGUGUGAAAAACUCCGGUGGUAUAAGAUGGACCCGCGUUGGAUUAGCUAGUUGGUGAGGUAACGGCCCACCAAGGCGACGAUCCAUAGCCGACCUGAGAGGGUGACCGGCCACAUUGGGACUGAGACACGGCCCAAACUCCUACGGGAGGCAGCAGUGGGGAAUAUUGCACAAUGGGCGAAAGCCUGAUGCAGCGACGCCGCGUGAGCGAAGAAGUAUUUCGGUAUGUAAAGCUCUAUCAGCAGGGAAGAUAAUGACGGUACCUGACUAAGAAGCACCGGCUAAAUAUGUG